rnacentral:rRNA from 1 species
UGGGGAAUUUUGGACAAUGGGCGCAAGCCUGAUCCAGCAAUGCCGCGUGCAGGAUGAAGGCCUUCGGGUUGUAAACUGCUCUUGUACGGAACGAAAAAGCUCUCUCUAAUACAGGGGGUGAAUGACGGUACCGUAAGAAUAAGCACCGGCUAACUACGUGCCAGCAGCCGCGGUAAUACGUAGGGUGCAAGCGUUAAUCGGAAUUACCGGGCGUAAAGCGUGCGCAGGCGGUUUUGUAAGACAGAGGUGAAAUCCCCGGGCUCAACCUGGGAACUGCCUUUGUGACUGCAAAGCUGGAGUGCGGCAGAGGGGGAUGGGAUUCCGCGUGUAGCAGUGAAAUGCGUAGAUAUGCGGAGGAACACCGAUGGCGAAGGCAAUCCCCUGGGCCUGCACUGACGCUCAUGCACGAAAGCGUGGGGAGCAAACA